AAAUUGAAGAGUUUGAUCAUGGCUCAGAUUGAACGCUGGCGGCAGGCCUAACACAUGCAAGUCGAACGGUAACAGGAAGCAGCUUGCUGUUUCGCUGACGAGUGGCGGACGGGUGAGUAAUGUCUGGGAAACUGCCUGAUGGAGGGGGAUAACUACUGGAAACGGUAGCUAAUACCGCAUAACGUCGCAAGACCAAAGAGGGGGACCUUCGGGCCUCUUGCCAUCGGAUGUGCCCAGAUGGGAUUAGCUAGUAGGUGGGGUAACGGCUCACCUAGGCGACGAUCCCUAGCUGGUCUGAGAGGAUGACCAGCCACACUGGAACUGAGACACGGUCCAGACUCCUACGGGAGGCAGCAGUGGGGAAUAUUGCACAAUGGGCGCAAGCCUGAUGCAGCCAUGCCGCGUGUAUGAAGAAGGCCUUCGGGUUGUAAAGUACUUUCAGCGGGGAGGAAG
rnacentral:rRNA from 1 species